AAUAGAACUUAUACUCGUUUGUUGAGUUUGUUAAUCAGAAAACUGAAUUUGCAGACAUUUGCUGAAUUCUGUGUAUUUUCAUGUUACAAAUCCUCAGUCGCUUAUUAAAUCAACAAAUAUUUAUUGAGUACCCAUUAUGUGUCUAGUAUAUACUUGGUCUUCUACUACUUAUGACCUACAAGUAGAUGGUAAAUUGUGGUGCUAAAUAAAAGAAAAUCAGGCAUUAAGGACAAGUCAGAAACAAUUUGCUGAAUAGCUCUUGAGUCACUCUGCAAGAAAUGUCAGAUGAAACAAAACGUGUCUGCCCAACCAAGCAUCACAGAGAGGGCAUUUUUACUAAGCCUUUUCUAAUACAAGUGAACUGCUGCUUUUUUGUUCAUUGCGGGAUCAUAGUGACCUUAAAGUGAACAGUUUAUGUUUUGGGAGAUUCAGAACACUUUGCUUGUGGUAACAAGCUUCAUUUCCUAUUUUAAAGAUCUCAGAGGCUAAAUGGAACCUUCAGGUUGAGAACAAUUUGUAAGAAUAAUUUACAUAUAUUUCUAUUUAUGCUAUAAUAAAAUGUCAUCAAAGAAUUGCUGGAAAACAUGGGAUUCUUGCUAUUUGGGAUUGGGGUGAAUAAUAAAUAAAGAGCCAUUUAGCCUUAGAAGAAAAUGAUUUUGAAUGCCAUUUGGAAUUAGUUUUGAAAUAUAAAGACCUGAGAAUUUUUCAUGAACCUAAAUGACAUAUCCUUUCCUUUUAGGAAGUAACAAAAAUAGAAUUAAAGAUGACUUUCUCUCAUGUUAAUUGAAUCCUCUACUAUGAAUAACAAGUUCACCAACUUGUUAGGCCCUGACAAAUUGGAAAUAGAAUUUUUUGCAUUAAUAAUUUUUAAGAAGAAACUAUACUAUGUUUGGAGUUAUGAUAAUGGAAUUGGCUGAUAGGAUACACACACAUAUACACAUUUGUUUCCAAGUUAAAAACUUAUCCUCCAAAGCCAAAUGAUACCUAAUUGAUGAAAUUUUGCAUGAUUCUCCCUAUAUGAAUAUCAUCUUUCCUAGCAUUCCUAUAACCCUAUAACCCUUAUCUUAUUGUAUUAUGGUCGACUUUUAUAUGUGUCUAAUCUUUUCUAGUUUGCUCUGGACAGGGCAUGGAUUUUACCCGAUUCACUGUAGUGUUCCCUUGGCACUUAAUAUAGUACUGAGCACAUAGUAGGCAUUCAGUAAAUGUUCAAUAAAUGCUAUUAAUAAGAAUAUAAGCCAUUUUUAUGUAAGGAACUUUUAGUGGCAUCCCAGGAAAUCUGAUUCAGAACAACUUUUAAGGCAUUUUAACCCAGUUAAUCGGCCUUCAUUUCUUCAGCUUCAAAAAGUAAUUCAUUCAAAAAGUAAUUCAUUUAAAUCAAAUGUUUAAGCUAAACCUAUGAGAUCAGAAGCCAAUUCUGUUUAUCUCUCCAGAGCACUCAACAGAAUGAGAAAAUUAUGACAAAAAUAUGACAAUCACCAAUGAGAAACACUGCUACAUGCUUCUUCGAUACCACUGCUGAACUGCCCUGUUUGAGGUGGGGAUCAGGAAAGUCUUAACCGUUGCCCUCCAUCCUAACAUCAUCCUUUACCAGUACAGUAUGGCAUAAUGGAAGAAAAUCAUAAACUUCAGGGCUAAAAAGACUGGGUUUAAAUCCUGGCUCUACUAUAUACUAUUUGUAUGACCCUAUGUAGGCUACUUAAUUACUCUGGGCUCCCAUUUCCUCAUCUUAUAAAAGGAGAAAUAUCUUCACCUAACUCUCAAGUUCAUUGGGAGAACUGAAUGAGAUAAUGUAAAUGUGAAAUAUCAGCUACUUCUUUUCUGUUACCAUCUCUUUCCUUCCCCUAUCAAGGAAGGAUCUUCCUCCUAAACCUUGAGAUCUUUUUCUUAACAAUCAGAUGUACUUUUCUCAAGCAUAGUAUCUCUGCCCUGCAUUUGAUUACUCUCAUCCCUAUACACAGUGUUAAGAAAAUGAGCUGGAUUUUAAAAGUAUAAGUAAGCUCUAGUAAAAAGUCUAAUUCCCCCUUAUUGGAGAAAUAUUGCAUUAUUAAAUCAAACGAUCGUGAGUGUAGGGAAAAAUUAUGCUUCAGUAAAAAACUAUACAUUGUCCAUACAGCAUACCUUUCAGUGUUAUCAGACUCUGAUUCUAUGGGAGCUAUUUUAAAACUCUGCAAAUUAUAUAACUAAUAGUAAUACAAAAUAUCCCUUGCUUAUAGGUAUGGAAAUUCUGUCCUGUAGAGGUUCAAGUGACUUCCUUCCCCCACUGUGGAAGAGGCUAAUUUUGCCUCCAUUUGCACAUUUAUUUCAAUAUUUUUAUCUAUAGAUGUGUCUGUUCUUUGAGGUUUUUUUUGAACUGAUUAUACCAUCUGCCUGGUUCCCUCAUUGACUAAUGAGUUAAAUAAAAUCUUUAACAUGUAUUAAUUAUAUAACUGUGUAAGAGUCAUGAUUUUACCUUAUUUUGGAAAAUUAUUUUUUCAUGUGAGGUUUUUAAAAAAGAAAGAGAUUAUUGCUCUUUGGACAUCUUGGGCUCAGAGCCAAGCUUUAGCAGCUUGGAGACCUAAAUCCUGUUCAAGGCCACUGCACUGCCAGGCAACCCAGCACUUUCUAUUUAGCUGUCAAAAGAGAUCUUAAAGCACCAUGUCUGCCAACGAAUAGUACCUAAGCUCUCAUUUCCCUCCUCUGUUCCUCUGUGGCUUCCACAAAUGGGGACUUGUUUCUUCCUUAGGCAUUCUGCACCAUUUCUCUGAGGGUGGGAAGGUCACUACAGUACUGUUAGGAAACAGGUUUUCUAUGUCAGCAAGAGGUCUAAAAAUAGAAGCCAGAGCUUCCGAUAAUGUACUCUUCUCUACUAACAACUAGGACAGCCGCCUUCCCACUGCAAAGGGAAAUCCUGAAAUCAUGGUGCUUGUUGUGUUUACAAGUGCUCAAAUUUGACUGAUAGGCUCCCAGCACUUACGUAGCAUAGCACUUCCACGUUUUAUCUCAUGCUACACUAUGCAUCUUUGUAAUUCAAUUUUAUUAAAAGGACAUUUAUUGAAGUCCUUCUGUAUAUUGGGUGCUUACGUAGUUUGUGUUCUCCUCGAGUCAAGGAUUUAGGUGAAAGUCAUUUGUUAGGGAUGUAAGUAAUAUGCUGGAUGAGACGUCGGGAAGUAAGACAGGUUAGGCAAACAAUAAAAGGUGUGUUAAUAAGUCCAUUAUUUUCUGAUGGCAAAUGAAGCCUUGUCCCAUGAGCAACUCUGGAAGCCAGUAUAGAAGGACUCCUCAGAGCUAUUCUGCCCAAGGGGAGAAGGAGCUGGUGUAUGUUAAAUUGAUUUCCACCAGUCAUUGGAUGAGAGUACUCUCAGGAGACACUAAUUCACCUUUAAUUCUGGUCUGCCACAAGGGUGGGCAAAAUGGCUUGGAUCAGAGAAUGCCCUCAACGAAGAAAUGCAGCUGCUACCAUGUAGAAGUCAGGUUGAUGUGGUAAGGGACCGGGGAUAUGGGAAAGACACAGACACUGAUGCCUUGUAAGCUCCUGGGAAUACCAAAAUGUACUGAAUCUUUGCAUUAAAAAAAAGCCAUCAUCUAUCAAGGCAGAAAGACAUGGAUUAGACUAAUUACAAUGUCAUGUGAUAAUAACAAUAGUGUUUAAGGGAACAUGGCAGAGGAGGCAACAAAUUGUGCAUGAGAAAAAGAGAAAGGGAAAGGAGAGCAGAGGUUCUUUGCAAGGGAUUGAUGUAUCUCUUCAUGUGCAGAGGAGGGGGAAGAUAUGGCUCUAUUUCAUAGUGAGUAUAUAUCACUAGCCAAAGUAUAAUCAGCAAUUGAAGGCUGAAUCUGCAUAAUUGCUCUUUAUUGCAUAUCCUUUCUCUGAUUUGAAGGCCACCACAUUUUGUAUUGUUAGACAGUCUUGAGGUGAUGGAGAAACUGUUCUAUGUCCGGAUUUUGAUAUUACAUAUUUCUACCUCCAUCUCAAUGUGAGACAAUCUCUGAUAAUAAGCCGAAUACGGUUGUCCCUCCAAGAUUGAAGAAGCCACACGGCCUCCUCUCAUUCAUCAUAGUUGAGUUCACACUUGAAAUUGAGGAGGUCAUUCUCCCACUAGACACCAUCAUUGCCUGUGUGCUCAUGAUAAUAGACAGUGACAUCACCUUGGGACCUUGAGAGGGUUAUAAUUUGAGGACAUGAGAGUUGCUAAUGAAACAGAAUAGGGUUUUUACCCAUGAUCUUUUCAUGCUAGAGACAAGGUUUGUUGAGGCUUUAAAGAGUCUCUAAUUUUGUGUGUUGUACCAGACACAAUAGAGCAGUACUAUAGAAAAGCAAGCCCUCUGAUGAGAAAUGGCCUCAUUCUCCUACCCUCAGGCAAUGGAGGUAGAAGGUCUGCCAGGUCAAAGGGGAAGAAUCCUACUAAGAGUCUUUUGGGGUAUUGGCUUGGGUUGAUGCAUACCUCUCAAAACAUUCAUCUCCAGUCAUAUGACCUGUAUAUUUGCAAACGCAGACACGAUUAGCCUGCCUAGGCCACCAUAAGGUGUAGUACAGUUGCUGAGUAUGUGGGCCUCAGCACCAGACUGCCUAGAUUUGACCAGCUUCUCUGUCUCUCACAGCUUGCCAGCUCUAAGGAUUCUGAACAUUAGCUUCUGGAUUUGGAAAAAGGAUAUCGUUAACAGUAGUACUUAUCAAUUUUGUAGAGAACAAAUGAGAGCAUGCAUAUGACACACUUAACAUGUUGUUGGGCACAUCAUGAGGAACACAUUGCCUUUGCAUACCCCACCCAUACUCCAAGUCUUCACGUCAUUUUCCACCUCUUCCUUACACUUCGGCCAUUAUCAAUUCCCCUUAUUCAGAACUUCUAAUCUCCAUGACAUAAUUCCAUAUAUAGCUGUACAAUUAUAUAGAGAGGAGUUGGCUUCUGUUGCUCAGACUUGUUUUAUGUCUGUUAUUUCAUUUGCUGAGGAAGAUGAUGCAUUGCUAAAGGACAAAAGUUGCCUGUCACUGCUUCUGUAAGUUCUCAAAGUUGCUAUACGUUAGGCACAUCAUAAAUGUCCCUCAUAAAUACUUUGUAAUUAAUUUGUACCUUACUACAAAGUUAACUUGAAUUUGUACAUAAGCAGCAAGUACUUCCUCUGCUUAAGAAAAGAACAAGUAAAUUAUUUCAGAGAGCAUUCUCCUUAGUUCUGAAGGAACAUCAUCCCAGCAAGCAGCCCCCAGACUUUUCCCUUUCCUAUUCCCUGAGCAAGCUUGGGCUCUUCAUGUGUGUUGGAAAGUAAUAAGAGAAUAAAUUAUAGACUUCAUGUCUCAGACUUACAGUUUUCUCUCACUAUGCCCAAAUGAUUUGAGAUUGUUAAAUGAAAACAUUCCUAGGGUCCGGAGAAAAACUCUAUUUAGAAGCAAACUAUAGGACUAGAUAAAAUCUCAUAUGAAAGGGCAUGUUUUUGGUAUAUCAUAGCAUUUUCUUGAAAUAUGUUUAAGUACAUCACAAAUUUGCACUCAAAGAUGUAAAAAAAAGUUUACAAAAUGCCGUUAGUCAGAGACAAAGUCAUGUAAUGUGUAGCCCAUGGAGGAAGUAGUCCCUGUAUCUCUUCUGUUUUCCUUAGCCACCAACUGUUCUUUACCAUACCUCCACCCCACGAUCUACAAUCUAGUUCCAAUACAUCCCAAGCAGAAAGCUGUUGGGUGAUUGGAGAGAAAUCAUCUUUGCUCAUUCAUUUGAUUAUUCAUCAAAUAUUUAUGGAGGAUUAUUAAUGUGCUCAAAUCUGAGGAUGUAAAGUUAAAUAAUAAACACAUCCUUAGGCAUGCCUCCAGAUUCACAAGCCCCUAGCAUGGCUGUAAUUAAGAAAUGAUUAUAGGCUUGGUGUAUAACAACACAAAUCUUUAAGGUUUUUACUAUCCCACUAAUAGCACUGAGGGCAGACUCAUGCUAGACUGCCUGGAAUCAAAAGCCAUUUCUGCACUCUUACUAGCUGUAUGACCAUAAGCAACCAAAUACAAUUUCUGUUCUAUUUUGUAAUCUGUGAAAUAGGGAUGAUAAUAACCUUCUCUGUAAGGUUAUUGGAAGGAUUAAAUGAGUUAAUAUGCAAAGUGCUUAAAUGCUUGACACAUAGUAAGGACUCAUUAAUAUAAACCAACAAUGUUAUUAUUAACAAUUUCUGAGUUCCUACAAUGAAAAUGGUGUGAAAUAUACGCAUGGGUGCAGUGAGGAAUAAAGCACUGGCUAAGAAGUGAGCUGAUGGAUAACUUGGACACUAAGUCCCUUUACUUCUGUUCAUCUUUUGUCUGAGAAUUGUGCAUAAUACCUUCUGGCUUGAUCUUCUGGGACAUAUGUUUGAAAUACAUAAAAUAUCUUCCUACUCAAUAAGCCAACUGAGAAGUAUAAAUUUUUUUUAGAAAAGUCUGUUUUCAUGAUGUGUUUAAAAUUUUUAAAUGCUUUUUGAAUCUUUGUGGUCUGUCCUGGCGGCAAAGAUGGCAGGUAUCAAAGCAUCAAGGGCCUGAUGCUCUUUUUUAGCUUCAUGGUGACUGUGCCCAGGACCAGCCCAUGCUUGUGGCAGCAGCCCUUCUGUGGCAGAUGACAGAAUACUACUUCACCAAGAAAAUACAGAUCAUUGGAUGUGAACUUAUCUGACUACCUUCCCCUCCACCUGUAAAACUUAUUAUCAGAGUAAGGAAAUGGUAUUCCUCCUUCAGUGCAAAGGUAAUCUCUUCAUCUUCCUUAUGAGAUUGAUUCCUCCUGCUCCUUCCAGAACUCUCCUCCAUCAAUUAUCCUCUAUCUCACUCGUACUUUCAGUCUCCCUUUCCUUUAUUCUACAAAUGUACCCUUCUCAUCUUAAUUUUAAAAAAAAAAAAACCUCCUUUCCCUCAAAUUCUGUAAUCUAGUAUUCAAUCCCUCUCUUUCUCUUUGGCACCAAUCUUUUAAACGAUAAAUCUACAGACUUACUUUUCCCCACUUUCUCAAAUCUCAUUUACUCUACCAACUCAGUAUGGGCUUUUGUAUCACCACUCUAGGGAAAUUGGCCUUGCUAAGGUCAAAAAUGUCCCAGUGGUCAAAUCCAAUGACCUCUCUUGUUCUUUCUACUCAACAUUCCUGCUGCACUUGUCGUGGUUGCUUUCCUCAUCUGCAAAACUCCCUCUUCCCUUAAUAUCAAUGACUGCAUCUCUUUCUGGUUCUCCUCCAGAUUUUCUAACCACUCUUUCUCUGUAUCCCUUGUUGAGUCCUUCUCUUCCUCUUAUUCUUUCAAUGUUCAUGCUCAUGGAAAUCCUAUUCUUAUUCAUCUUCUAUAUUUAUUCUACACAUUCUCACUGGGUGAUCUUAGCAAUACUGUCAUUAUAUGAUGACUACUAUUCCUACAUUUAUAGCUCUGGUAUCUGUUCUUGGCUCCAGAUUAAAAUUUUCAACUGUAGAUUAGAUAUCCUCGUGUGUCCCUGACAUGAAUAAACAAAAUCACUGUCUGCUCAGUUGCUCAAAAUGGAACCUUGAGUCAAACAUUACUCUUUCUAUUGUACCCGCUACAUCUUGUCUGAUGCAAUUUUACCUUAAGUUUAUCUUGUGAAUCUUGCCCGUUUUCUAACCCAUUGCCACUCCCUAAGCCCAAACCUUCAUCAUCUCUCUUUUGUGGAUGAUUGUCCUGGAACCCUGGUCCCUUACCUUUUUCGUAUAUCCUUUGAAAGGUAUCUUGAGUUAUCUUCUUAGAAAUCUUAUGUAAUUAUGCUCCUCUUCUGCUUAAAAACCUUGAUUGCCUUCCUGUUACCUGUGGUUAAAUCUAUGCUUCAAUAAUCUUCUUUACAUUCUGGCCUUAACUAACUUUAUUCUGUAGGCUUAUCUUCUAUGAUUUAUCCCUUUCACUUCCUCUAGAGAUACUCAUCUUUUAUUAUCCCCCAAACUAGCAAUGUUCUUUCCAGACAUGGACAGUUCUCUAUCUGAAAUUCCCCUUUUCAUUCAUUGAACACCUAUUUGCUCUCAAUACCAAAUUCAAGUACCUCCUCUUUUAUAAAGCCUAGAGCUACUUCUUUUUCCUCCUCAGUGAACUGAGUUCUCCUGUACCACGGGCCCUCUAGAGAAAAAUAAAGGUCAUCACUAUUAGUGGAUACCUUAGUUAGCCCCCCUAGUCUUUUGUAAAGAUUUUUGGUUCACUGCCUCAUAAUCUGGGAGAAUCCUGUACUUGAGAACUACUCAAUUUUUUUGUAAAGCUGGAAGAUGAAGCUCAAGAGGAGAAUUUCAGAAGAUGCCCAACCACAGACUCACUGGUUGGAAGGAAGUAUGGGCCAUAACCAUGAAGUGAACCUGAAAUUACUUUAGCAGUCAGAACUCCCUGGCAAUUCAGGUAUAUCCAAUAUUAUCAACAUGUAUGAUUUAUGCGCCUUUGGUUUUAUUUACUGAACACUGCAGACACUGAGUAGGAGAGUGCCUUAGGCCAGGGAUUCUAUUUGGAUAAGUUAGAUGUCACUAUCCAUCCAUGUUCGGUAUUAGGCAUGGAAAAGAAAACUUUUUAUAAAUGGGAUAUUGGUACUGAAAUAGUGGUAAAGUAGAAGAAGGUGGGAUAGUAAAGUUGCAGGUUAGAAUGCUGAUAAGUUAACAAUUCUCCUUUGAAUCACCCUCUACUUUGUACUUAGCGCAGUGUCCUAUGCAUAAUAAAUGCGUGAUACAUGUCUACAUGUAAAUAAAUCCACUUACUCAACAUUAAAUAUUUAUUAAGCUCCUAGAUAAACAGAAAGUGCACAAAAACCUGGGGCUUCAAAGAUAAAUUCAAUUCAACCUGUAAUAGAAAGGGCAGCAGCUGUGUUACAAAUAUAUUCAAUAAAGUAUUGCAGAUGGGGAAUGAGUGUCCCUGUUGUCAUUUUCUAAUGACUUAUACUCCCCUCCAUCCUAGGUUAUAUAUAAGGAAAGGUAGUGUUUGUCCAAGUCCUAUUUGGCAGCAGGAUAACUUUUUCUUCCCCUAAAUAACAAGAAUGAUAAAAUUCUGGCUGUUUUCUAUUCAAGAAAAUGCAGUGAGGAGUCAAAUGAGAUGAUACAUAUGGAGGGACUUCAUGAAUUUUAAGUGAAUCACAAUAAUUAGCAGAUAAUAAUAACUUAGUUCAGUUCUUAAUAUUCAAGUUUGCAUUGGUACAGAUUCUGAGAUUAAGGAUUAGUGUUAUCAAUUUUUAAAUUUACUUGAUAAAUGUCUAUUGACAACCUACCUACUGUCACGUGUUGGAGAUACAAUGUAGAAUGAGAUAAGCUCAAUCCUAACCUUCUUGAACUAGUCUAGGAUGGAAAGAAAUAGAGAAGCAACUAAUCACAAGAUAGACUCUAGACUGAGCACGUAGGAAAGGUUGGGAUUUGUAGUUUAAGAGAGGCUUUCUAGAGGAAAUGACAUUAACCUGAAGUCAGAGUAGAGAGUAAGCUGUUGGAAAGGCAGGGAUGGUAGAGAGAAAUGCAAGUGCCAAGCACCAGAAAUAAAAGGUUUGAGGAAUGGCAAAUGGGGCAUCGAGGCUGGAACAUAGAGUGGGAAGGUGUGGCUUGAGAUGUGGAAUGAAGAUGUUGAAAUUGACAAUAUAGAUGCUUGGCUUUCCCACUUCUUUGUCUCAUUUCCUCACUCUCUUAUAUGUCUCCCCUGAUUGCUUAUUCUUAAUAAAUCUCUUUUGCACAGGGUCUGCUUCUUGGAAACUCAACCUCAGACAGAUGUAGUAAAGAACCUAAACACAGAGAUCUUUGUGAGACAUGUACAAGUGCAAGCACUUUAUCCAAAAAUGAUGAGAAGGCCUAGGAGAGUUUCAAGGGUCAUGAGAGACCUAGAAUAUCAAGGAUACUAGUAUUUUGAGCUCUGCACUCCCUUGGGUGACAGCUCAGCUUCCUUUUUCUGUGCAUUCAGAUAAAGAUAUAGGCAAUCAGGCACCCCAGAGCAGCUGCACUAUGGAUUUUCUAAAAAAAGUACAGGAGUUUAUUUUUGAUCUUAGCUUUCCUUUAGGAUCUAUUUAUUAUGUCAUCUUUAUUUCUUUGCCUUCUUUGCACCUGCCACAUCACCCAUCUAAAGUCAAUAAUAUUUUUUAAAGGUGUCAUUCUGUGAUGUAUAUAGCAUAUUACAUGAUGUCACUGAUGGAUACUUUUUGUUAAUACCCUCAAGUGCUUUGCUCUAUCACUGAAGCAGAUAAUUUAUUCUGGCAUUUAUAUGAAAAGUUAGACACUGAGAGGGUACCUGCUUAUUUGAGACUUUAUGUAUGCAUGGUUUAUUAUGGCACAUAUUGUUAGCACAUGGCUCCAAAUUUUUAUGUAAUAAUUAUAUUCUUUUCAAUAUGUGGGGGAAUGAGAGAGGCCCCAUGAUGAAGGAAUAACUCAAUCAUGAAAGCUUCACAUGUCAAUCCACUCUUACUGAGCAUCACAAAGAUUCCUUCAGCCAAACUACAGUGCUGUUAACUAUACAUUGGCACCUCUUAAAUGAACUCAUUCUGGGAGAUGGAGGUGCUAUAGAAUACUUUUUACCCAGGAGCCAUUUGCAAACCCAGUUUCAACUGUAGGCAGAAAAAAAAAAAAAUCCCACGUGUGUAAUUAUCCUAUUUGCAGAGCUGGUUGACAAGUAGAAUCGUGGAGUUUUCUCCUUGAGAUAAGUGUAUUCUUUUGCCAAGGAAAUCUUUUUUUUAAUAGGGUUUAGGAUAUUUGCCCCAAGUCACAAAUUCAUACACUCUGCGGAAAGCCCUGCAUGUUAUAAACUUUGUUGGCAUUCAGGAGAUCUAUGGAACAGGAAGCCGCCUGCUGGGUUUUAAGUGGGAAUAUUUGCUCAGAAUAUUUGAUUAAAGGAUGCACUUAAAUGAGGCAUAUGUGCAUGAUAAACAAACGUGAGUCAGAAACUUGGGGGAAAUAAAAGGAACACAUAUUCCAGACUGUGGAUAAUUCCUUUUAUGUUGGGAGAGCUAGAGAAAUACAUCUGAUAAUAUAGGAUUAGUUUGAUAAAGAUCAGGUUAAGCAUGCCACUGGUUACAGAGUGGGCACGGAUUCUAGGAAAUGAAAUGGUAAUAUUUCAGAUAAAAUAAAUACUGAAUAGUAUGGCAACCUUAUUAACAAACUGUGACCUUAGAUUUUGGAGAGAACAGGUAGCCUGGCAUUCAUCUAUUUAAAAAGGCCUCUGAAAAAAGUGAAAUUUUCAGUGCCAGGGCUUCCUAUUCACAAGGCAUGACCCUGGGCAUAUGUAACAUUUCCUUUCAAACAGGGAUGAUGUCUUAAAUUUUUAUAUUUUGGGAACACACUGUAUAUACUUCCUUUGGAAAGCAAAUCUCAGGAUUCCAAAGAAAAUCUUAUCCUCUUGUUCAUAUUCCUUGACAUCUAUAACUAAUAAUUCAGCAAAGCCACCUUCUCAUACCCCAAUAUCUAAUGACACCGUCUGUCCCUUGGAAAUGGAGAAGCUGUGACCCUGGAAGCAAAUGAUAGCAAAGGAUCUAAGUCAGGCACUCAGAUUAUAUAAAACAAAAUUUGAACUCAAAGUAAGCAAAUGUGUGCAUGCCCAAAUAACUUCUUUAUAGUUAACCUUUAUUCAGUUCUUCUUCAAGAUGCAGUGUAUCUAAGACUGCCAACCUCAAUCAAAAGACAAACUUAAUCAGUGCUGUGGUUUUAAUGUGUCCCCCAAAGCUCAUGUGUUGAAAAUUUAAUCCCCAAUUCAAUAAUGUUGAGAGGUGAUGCCUCUAAGAGAUGAUUAGGUCAUGAGGGCUGUGCCCUCAUGAAUGGAUUAAUGUCAUUGUCAUAGGAGUGGGUUAGUUCUCACUGGAAUGGCUUCCUGAUAAAAGGAUGAAUUCAGUCCCCUUCCCCUUCUUCCUUAUGCCCUCUUGCCCUUCUGCUUUCUACCGUGGGAUGAUGCAGCAAGAAGACCCUCGCCAGAUGCAGACUCCUCAGCCUUGGACUCCCAAGCCUCCAGAACUGUAAGAAAUAAAUCUCGAAUCUUCAAAAUUACCCAGUCUAUGGUAUUCUGUCAUAGCAACACAAAAUGCACUAAGACAAUUGGUAUCCCAUUAUCUGUGGGCUGUACAGUGGAAUACUAGCAAUGCUAAUGUCAUCACUGUGGAUACUUUGUCUCAAAUAAAGGAUUAGUUUGAUAUAGAAUGUGUAGGGGCUCCAUCACCAAUGUGUUUUCACCUAGUGUGUAAAAUAAAUGACAUGAAUCAGGAGCCAUUGAUUAAGUCUGAGGUGGCAUCACUAUUUCCCUACCCCUACUCCGUUAUUUAUCUCUUCCUAAGAGCUUGGAUUGAGAAGAAGGAAGAAAAAAAAUCAUGCUUGCUUACUUGACAAACACUCUCAGAGAAAGCAUGGAGGAGGAACUAGUAAUUUAAAAGUAUAUAUUAUAUUUAAGAAUAUCUAUAUAUAAUCAUCCUUUCCCCAAGACAUUUAGUGAUAUUUCAAAGACAUUUCAUUUUCUGCAUCCAUCUUCAUUGCAAACAAUUUUCAAUAGUUUUUCCUUGGAAUUUAUAUAUUGAAGUAUAUGAAACAUUAUCAUUUUUAAACAGAGAAACUUAGAGUGAUUUAAUACUAAUAAAUAGGAAGUUAAUCUUAAAUCUGCACAAGUUAAGAUAAAUAUUGCAUAAUUUCAAUUUUAAAUGAGAUUUUUGGUAUAGAUUUAAAUUUUUAAAAUUUCAUUGCAAGGAAGUGAUGGAAAAACUAUUCUCAGCAAAUGAGUGGAAAUUGCACAACUACAAGAUUUACCCAUUUUUUGAAAGCUGCCUGAGAAAGAAGAUAGCAAUCCAAAAGAAAAUUCUUCAUACAGUUCACAGAUGCUAACUGAUCCCCUGUUCCAUCAACCAUAACUACAGCUUUGACCGGACAAGAGACUGAUGUCAGUAACUUUCUCCUAAUAAGAAGACCACCAACCAUGGACUGAUGAUUCUGGCUGGUUUAAAGAGAUCACUCUUGCAUGCCUCUGUGUCCUAAAAAGGCCUUUUGACAUACAGGCCCUAAUUGUAAGACAUUUAAAUGUUAAGUCUCCACCUCAAAGUGAACAUGGGUUGUAUGUUACAUGCAUGUUUGCUUUAUACACAUGCAUCAGAACCACCUUUGUGAAUAUUCGUAGCCUUCUAUAACCUGUUGAAUAUGUAUGUUUAGCCAACCUGUUCAACAUAAAGCUCCUAUACCAACCGUUCCUCCUUUGAAGUGCCUGUCUCUGGUCUUGUCCAAAGACAUGCUUCCCAGGCUGCAGGAUGGUCACUUUGCAGACUAUAACCCUUUACAAGAAAUAAAGUCUCCUUUCCUUUUCCAAAUUUAUAGAUUUAAGUUGACAAAAUGAAUACUCCAAGAUCCCAUCAUCCAUAUAUUCUGUAGAUGGAGAGGUGUGGGGCCCAGGAUUUGCCUUUUUAACCAGACUCUCAGGUGGCUUUGAAUCAGGUCUUCUGAAAAACAUGGCUUGAGAAACACAUCUGGUUGGUUGUUAAUUUGUUUUAGUAUUAAAUCCUAAAUCCUUUGAUUUGGCAUACUAUAUACAAACUUAUGUAAUAAACCAGAGUUAAUUCAAAGGAAAAAGUAGAAUAUGAGAAAUCCAUUGUCAGCACCGUACAUUAUAUUUAUAAAUUUUCCUGAAUCACAUAAUCUAACUUAAGUUUGGUUUGCCAAAUGUGUGCCUCAUUCACUUUUCAGAGACUCUGAGAUUCAAAUAUAAAUAAACGGAUCCCUUGUUUUCUGAAUACAUUUAUUUGGGUGGUGGGAAAUGGGCAAAAUGCUUUUUCUAAUAGAAAGCCUGAUAAAAGAAAUCUUGACUGUCUUGUUGGUCAUGAAGUGGUUAUUAGAAAUCAACAUCUUGAAGUAUUUAAAUGCAAAUAAAUUAGAAGAAGAUACAUUGUA